UGUCUCCCCCGGUCCCCCAGGUUUGGGUUGUGGCGCCGCAGCGGGUUCUGUGAGCCCAGGCGUCGGCGAUCUCCCGGAUCCGAGAUCGGGUGGCCCCCUCGUGUGCUAGCAGUGGUUCCGGGGUGCCGCCUCGGGAUGGGGGAAGCAUAGCGUUUCUUCGAAGCUCCCCCAGCCCGGCGAAGCUGCCGGCUUUCUGCGUCGCCGCCGCUGUGACUCACCUCCUUCCUCCCCGCAGAGACCUGGGUGGCCUCAGCCCUUAGCUGUGGGCCCUCGACCCCAUCCCGCAUCUCCCUCUCAAGGUGUGUUCUCCAGGAGCUGUCCGGGCACCAUCUUCGCGUCUGAUUCCGGGACGUUUGCUUGUAAAUAGCAAUUUUUGAAACCACUUGUGGGCUGCUGCAGCUGUGAGGUUCUGGGACUUCUGACAAGUUGGCAUAAGUUAUCAGUUCUUAUGAUGUUAAUCUGCUGGGUCUUCGCCUGAAGGUAUAACUGAAUCAAGAGUGCAGGACGUGAGCCGGCAGGGCUGUGCCGGGAUGAAGAAGAAUGAUAAGCCUCGCCCCUGGAGGAACUGUUGAGCUUGCUGCCUGGAAGCCACCGCACACAUCCAGGCCUGCCACACACAGGUUGUGCUGCUGAGCUGGCAUAGAGAGUUUCAGAUAUUUAUUAAUGAUUUCAUGUAUUUAGAGGGGAACGAUUUCCUGGAUAACUGGAAAGUUGUGCAGGUGGCUUCUGGAAGACCUUCAUUUUAAGCAGCUUUAUGGUGAAACGUUUCAUUUAGAAGUCUGGACCUUCUUCAGUUUGCUGCAAUCUCCGUUCACUGAGUAGAACUGGUAUUGAUUCUUGGGACCCAGUUUGUUCCAGGGUUCUGGAUUGAACAAAUUCCAGGCACAAGACGUAGAACGCUGCCAGUACCUCUGGCCCCACGACAUACGAAGGGGGCACCCAGCUUGGCUGCUUCUUGGAACGUCUCAGAAGAUCUGGCAGAACGUGGUGGCGGCAGAAGCCUAGAGUCUGGAAGGAGAGAACAGAUCUGCAAGGAAGAGAUUCUGCUAAGAGAACAGAUCUUCAGCCUUCUCUCUACACACAGAAAAGGUAACUGUGAGUUGAGGGAUGUGUUAGAAUUACCUUAAUUGUGGUCAUUUCACAAUGUGUACGUAUAUCGAAUUGGAUUGUGCACUUUAAGUGUAUACAACUUUAUUUGUCAAUUAAAAAUAAAGCUGGGAAAAAAUUACA